UGAACGCUGGCGGCAGGCCUAACACAUGCAAGUCGAACGGUAACAGGAAGCAGCUUGCUGCUUCGCUGACGAGUGGCGGACGGGUGAGUAAUGUCUGGGAAACUGCCUGAUGGAGGGGGAUAACUACUGGAAACGGUAGCUAAUACCGCAUAACGUCGCAAGACCAAAGAGGGGGACCUUCGGGCCUCUUGCCAUCGGAUGUGCCCAGAUGGGAUUAGCUAGUAGGUGGGGUAACGGCUCACCUAGGCGACGAUCCCUAGCUGGUCUGAGAGGAUGACCAGCCACACUGGAACUGAGACACGGUCCAGACUCCUACGGGAGGCAGCAGUGGGGAAUAUUGCACAAUGGGCGCAAGCCUGAUGCAGCCAUGCCGCGUGUAUGAAGAAGGCCUUCGGGUUGUAAAGUACUUUCAGCGGGGAGGAAGGGAGUAAAGUUAAUACCUUUACUCAUUGACGUUACCCGCAGAAGAAGCACCGGCUAACUCCGUGCCAGCAGCCGCGGUAAUACGGAGGGUGCAAGCGUUAAUCGGAAUUACUGGGCGUAAAGCGCACGCAGGCGGUUUGUUAAGUCAGAUGUGAAAUCCCCGGGCUCAACCUGGGAACUGCAUCUGAUACUGGCAAGCUUGAGUCUCGUAGAGGGGGGUAGAAUUCCAGGUGUAGCGGUGAAAUGCGUAGAGAUCUGGAGGAAUACCGGUGGCGAAGGCGGCCCCCUGGACGAAGACUGACGCUCAGGUGCGAAAGCGUGGGGAGCAAACAGGUUUAGAUACCCUGGUAGUCCACGCCGUAAACGAUGUCGACUUGGAGGUUGUGCCCUUGAGGCGUGGCUUCCGGAGCUAACGCGUUAAGUCGACCGCCUGGGGAGUACGGCCGCAAGGUUAAAACUCAAAUGAAUUGACGGGGGCCCGCACAAGCGGUGGAGCAUGUGGUUUAAUUCGAUGCAACGCGAAGAACCUUACCUGGUCUUGACAUCCACUGAAGUUUUCAGAGAUGAGAAUGUGCCUUCGGGAACCGUGAGACAGGUGCUGCAUGGCUGUCGUCAGCUCGUGUUGUGAAAUGUUGGGUUAAGUCCCGCAACGAGCGCAACCCUUAUCCUUUGUUGCCAGCGGUCCGGCCGGGAACUCAAAGGAGACUGCCAGUGAUAAACUGGAGGAAGGUGGGGAUGACGUCAAGUCAUCAUGGCCCUUACGACCAGGGCUACACACGUGCUACAAUGGCGCAUACAAAGAGAAGCGACCUCGCGAGAGCAAGCGGACCUCAUAAAGUGCGUCGUAGUCCGGAUUGGAGUCUGCAACUCGACUCCAUGAAGUCGGAAUCGCUAGUAAUCGUGGAUCAGAAUGCCACGGUGAAUACGUUCCCGGGCCUUGUACACACCGCCCGUCACACCAUGGGAGUGGGUUGCAAAAGAAGUAGGUAGCUUAACCUUCGGGAGGGCGCUUACCACUUUGUGAUUCAUGACUGGG
rnacentral:rRNA from 1 species